UUCACUACCCAGACUAAUGAGUUAGUAUAUUCGUUGAAAAUGCUGAUAGGUUUAUAAUUUUAAUGGAGCACGUAGCCUCUUGAACUGCUUAUUCUAAAAGGGCAACAAGAAAAAGAAAAACUGGUAGAGGCCCAGAAAGAUUUAGAUCCAGUUUGUGUAUAUGCGUUGAUAUGGCCCCAGGCCCAAUUUAGGUAAAAGUAAAGCCCAUUGCCAAGGAUCUGGCGAAAGGGCCUGGACAAUGGAAACCUGAGCCAGCCCAAGAUGGAUUACCUCAAUCCCAUUAGGCAGGUCUAACGAUCGUCUUUCAGUUCAUGAUGAUUAAUUUUCUACUUGGUCGAUGGCAGGGGAGCCCCCACCCCCACCGGCGAGCUCGGACGGGGAGGGAGGUCGCCGACGGGGCCACCCCCACACUCGACUCAAUCGCCUUUAACUAAAAAAAAAAAAAAAAAAGAAGGAAGAAAGAGAGGAGAAGAAGCUGAGAGGGACUUGACGAACUUCGAAGGAGUCCAUGAGCGGCCGAUGAGAGGUGAGGGCUAGGCUCCGAUGAGCCUCAGGAGUCGUGUGCUGCCGCCGUUUUGGCCUCAACCGAUGCCGGGUUACUGUUUUAUGCUCUCCUCGGAGGGUUUGUGGGUUUGGGUCAGUGCAGAUUUGAUCUCCCAGGGUUUUUGGGGCCUUAACCAUGUCGAAGGUCUACGGAUUUAUUGAAAAUUGUGCGUUUUGUAUGGCAAUUCAGUCAUGCUUGUUCUUCGAUCAGUUCGUAAAUGUGAUGGGCGUUUUAAUGGUAAUGUUUGUAAUAAUUCAUUGAGAAAGUACUUCUUAAUUUAAAGCAAUAACGGGUCAUAGAGAAAUUCUUCAAUAGCGUUGGUUGCUGUCUCUAUGAACGAGCCUAGUUGGGCUCGGAUAUGGAGGCAGAGCCGGGGAGGAAGCGAGGAGUCGCACUCGGAGCUUUCCUGAUAGAUUGCCGGGAGGGAAGGGGGAGGAGUCAGGCUCAGAGCUGGAGGCAGAGCCGGGAAGGGCAGGCAGGCGGCCUUGGGGCAUUGACGAUCGUCGACUCACCUCGAGGGAUUCUUCUGCUCGUUUGUUGGAUUAGAGGAGAACAUGUGGAAGACGACAUUUUUUUUAUUCUUUAGUGUUUUUAUUUUUUCAAGUAAUUAAAUUAUUUUUAAUUUGGCUGAACCAGUGCGAUUCGAUUUAGUUUAAUCUCGAACCGGAUUCGGCUUGUUCG